ensembl:snRNA U6 U6 spliceosomal RNA
CUGCUUCAGCAGCAUGUAUACUAAAAUUGGAAUGAUCCAGAAGAGAUUAGCAUGGCCCCUGUGCAAGGAUGACAUGUAAAUUCAUGAAGUGUUCCAUAGUUUU